AUUGAACGCUGGCGGCAGGCCUAACACAUGCAAGUCGAGCGAGCGGCGGACGGGUGAGUAAUGUAUGGGGACUGCCCGAUCGAGGGGGAUAAAUACUGGAAACGGUGGCUAAUACCGAAUACGAGCGGAUAACCCAUAUGGGAUUAGCUAGUAGGUGGGGUAAAGGCUCACCUGGGCGACGAUCUCUAGCUGGUCUGAGAGGAUGAUCAGCCACCCUGUGACUGAGACACGGCCAAGACUCCGACGGAGGCAGAAGUGGGGAAUAUUGCACAAGUGGCGCAAGCCUGAUGCAGCCAUGCCGCGUGGAUGAAGAAGGCCUUAGGGUUUUAAAGUACUUUCAGCGGGGAGGCGUUACCCGCAGAAGAAGCACCGGCUAACGACGUGCCAGCAGCCGCGGUAAUAC
rnacentral:rRNA from 1 species